AGUGAACGCUGGCGGUAGGCCUAACACAUGCCAGUCGAACGGCAGCACAGUAAGAGCUUGCUCUUACGGGUGGCGAGUGGCGGACGGGUGAGGAAUACAUCGGAAUCUACUUUUUCGUGGGGGAUAACGUAGGGAAACUUACGCUAAUACCGCAUACGACCUACGGGUGAAAGCAGGGGAUCUUCGGACCUUGUGCGAUUGAAUGAGCCGAUGUCGGAUUAGCUAGUUGGCGGGGUAAAGGCCCACCAAGGCGACGAUCCGUAGCUGGUCUGAGAGGAUGAUCAGCCACACUGGAACUGAGACACGGUCCAGACUCCUACGGGAGGCAGCAGUGGGGAAUAUUGGACAAUGGGCGCAAGCCUGAUCCAGCCAUACCGCGUGGGUGAAGAAGGCCUUCGGGUUGUAAAGCCCUUUUGUUGGGAAAGAAAAGCAGCAGGUUAAUACCCCGCUGUUCUGACGGUACCCAAAGAAUAAGCACCGGCUAACUUCGUG
rnacentral:rRNA from 1 species